rnacentral:rRNA from 1 species
UGCAUAUCAAUAAGCGGAGGAAAAGAAACCAACAGGGAUUGCCUCAGUAACGGCGAGUGAAGCGGCAAGAGCUCAAAUUUGAAAGCUGGCCCCCUCGGGGUCCGCGUUGUAAUUUGCAGAGGAUGCUUCGGGUGCAGCCCCCGUCUAAGUGCCCUGGAACGGGCCGUCAUAGAGGGUGAGAAUCCCGUCUGGGACGGGGUGUCUGCGUCCGUGUGAAGCUCCUUCGACGAGUCGAGUUGUUUGGGAAUGCAGCUCUAAAUGGGUGGUAAAUUUCAUCUAAAGCUAAAUACUGGCCGGAGACCGAUAGCGCACAAGUAGAGUGAUCGAAAGAUGAAAAGCACUUUGAAAAGAGAGUUAAACAGCACGUGAAAUUGUUGAAAGGGAAGCGUUUGCGACCAGACUCGCCCGCAGGGUUCAGCCGGCAUUCGUGCCGGUGUACUUCCCUGUGGGCGGGCCAGCGUCGGUUUGGGCGGCCGGUCAAAGGCCCUCGGAAUGUAUCACCUCUCGGGGUGUCUUAUAGCCGAGGGUGCAAUGCGGCCUGCCCGGACCGAGGAACGCGCUUCGGCUCGGACGCUGGCGUAAUGGUCGUAAAUGACCCGUCUUGAAACACGGACCA